rnacentral:tRNA from 1 species
GAAGUAGUAGUUUAAUUCUAAAACAUUAAGUUGCAAUCUUAAAAUCGAGAUUCUCCUACUUU